rnacentral:rRNA from 1 species
GCGAGACACAGGGAGGGGUGGGAGGUAUGACAGAGGGGGCAACGGGUGUUCGGAAGUACUGGGGGUAAAGCGGUUGUAGGAGGCCGCGACAUGCGGAUGGGAAAGCCCUGGGCUCAACUCAGGAAGUGCACCCGGUACGACGUGGCUGGAGUACCGGAGAGGGUGGUAGAAUUCUCGGUGUAGAGGUGAAAUUCGUAGAUAUCGAGAGGAAUACCUGUGGCGAAGGCGGCCAACUGGACGAGUACUGACGCUGAGACACGAAAGCGUGGGGAGCAAACAGGAUUAGAUACCCGAGUAGUC